ACCGAUUUUACAGUUCAAAAGCAGAAUUUUCAACUUUUUAAUAACAAUCCCUUCACGCCGCGCCGAUAUGUGUUUCUGUACUAAUUUGCGCUCUUAUUUCGCGUUGGAUACUUUUACCUAUAGAUAUGUCAUUCUAUAAUUAGGAUUGUUUCUGGGGCUCGCUUGCAAUAUAUAUAUUCAACAUUUUCUUUCCUAUUUCCGUACAUUUUGUAUUUUCCUCGUUCGUGGUAAUUAGUUUUUAUUAGCACAAUGAGCAAACGAUCACGUACCGAAAUAGAAGUUCAAUUUCUUAGCGACUGUGUAUACUCUGCGUUAGUCAAAUCUGGAUACUCAAAGCUUCCUUUCUACAGUGUUUCGGAGGGUGACAGUUCCUUCGCUUAAGUACACCAAGACUUCUUUUGAGAUGAGGAUAAGAAUUAGGACCGGUGUCCAGCUUUCCCUGUACGAAAGACAGAAAUUCGAAGGGUGACAGUUCCAUCUCUUAAAUACACAAAAACUUCAUUUGAGAUGAGGAUAAGAAUUUCAUUUUGGACCGGUGUCCGAUGGAAGGGAAGUUAUGUUUCUCUGUCAGCUUGCCAAAUGUUUUCUAUCCUUCACUGCAAUCGUCAAAAACACGGAGUCUACUUAAAGAUCAUGAACAUUUUCAACAUUCGUCUGAAUAAACUGAAGGAACUGUAGCGUAAAUAUAUCUGCAAAGACAGAACAUUCUAACUUACU